rnacentral:rRNA from 1 species
GGGUCAGUAGGCUGGUCGUGCCACCGGUACGUACUGGUCUCACUGAUUCCUCCUUCCUGAAGAACCGUAAUGCCAUUAAUUGGGUGUUGCGGGGAAACAGGACUGUUACUUUGAAAAAAUUAGAGUGUUUAAAGCAAGCUAACGCUUGAAUACAUUAGCAUGGAAUAAUGAAACAGGACGAUCGAUCCUAUUUCGUUGGUUUCUAGGAUUGACGUA